rnacentral:rRNA from 1 species
UACGUAGGGGGCGAGCGUUGUCCGGAUUCAUUGGGCGUAAAGCGUCCGCAGGUGGCAAUGUAAGUCUGCUGUUAAAGAGUCUAGCUCAACUAGAUACAAGCAGUGGAAACUACAUAGCUAGAGUACGUUCGGGGCAGAGGGAAUUCCUGGUGUAGCGGUGAAAUGCGUAGAGAUCAGGAAGAACACCGGUGGCGAAGGCGCUCUGCUAGGCCGUAACUGACACUGAGGGACGAAAGCUAGGGGAGCGAAUGGG